rnacentral:rRNA from 1 species
GAUGAACGCUGGCGGCGUGCCUAAUACAUGCAAGUCGAGCGAAUGGAUUAAGAGCUUGCUCUUAUGAAGUUAGCGGCGGACGGGUGAGUAACACGUGGGUAACCUGCCCAUAAGACUGGGAUAACUCCGGGAAACCGGGGCUAAUACCGGAUAACAUUUUGAACCGCAUGGUUCGAAAUUGAAAGGCGGCUUCGGCUGUCACUUAUGGAUGGACCCGCGUCGCAUUAGCUAGUUGGUGAGGUAACGGCUCACCAAGGCAACGAUGCGUAGCCGACCUGAGAGGGUGAUCGGCCACACUGGGACUGAGACACGGUCCAGACUCCUACGGGAGGUAGCAGUAGGGAAUCUUCCGCAGUGGACGAAAGUCUGACGGAGCAACGCCGCGUGAGUGAUGAAGGCUUUCGGGUCGUAAAACUCUGUUGUUAGGGAAGAACAAGUGCUAGUUGAAUAAGCUGGCACCUUGACGGUACCUAACCAGAAAGCCACGGCUAACUACGUGCCAGCCGCCGCUGUAA